CAGCCGCCGCGGGAAUACAGAGGGUGCGAGCGUUAAUCGGAUUUACUGGGCGUAAAGCGUGCGUAGGCGGCUUUUUAAGUCGGAUGUGAAAUCCCUGAGCUUAACUUAGGAAUUGCAUUCGAUACUGGGAAGCUAGAGUAUGGGAGAGGAUGGUAGAAUUCCAGGUGUAGCGGUGAAAUGCGUAGAGAUCUGGAGGAAUACCGAUGGCGAAGGCAGCCAUCUGGCCUAAUACUGACGCUGAGGUACGAAAGCAUGGGGAGCAAACAGGAUUAGAGACCCGAGUAGUCCCUGUCUCUUAUAA
rnacentral:rRNA from 1 species